GAUUCCCUUAGUAACUGCGAGUGAAGUGGGAAAAGCUCAAAUUUAAAAUCUGUCAGUCAUUGGCUGUCCGAGUUGUAAUCUAGAGAAGUGUUAUCCGCGCUGGACCGUGUACAAGUCUCCUGGAAUGGAGCGUCAUAGAGGGUGAGAAUCCCGUCUUUGGCACGGACUGCCAGGGCUUUUGUGAUGCGCUCUCAAAGAGUCGAGUUGUUUGGGAAUGCAGCUCAAAAUGGGUGGUAAAUUCCAUCUAAAGCUAAAUAUUGGCGAGAGACCGAUAGCGAACAAGUACCGUGAGGGAAAGAUGAAAAGAACUUUGGAAAGAGAGUUAAACAGUACGUGAAAUUGCUGAAAGGGAAACGCUUGAAGUCAGUCGCAUUGAUCGGGGAUCAACCCUUGCUUUUGCUUGGUGUACUUUUUUGGUUAAUGGGUCAGCAUCAAUUUUGACUAUUGGAGAAAGAUUAGGGGAAUGUGGCAUCUUUGGAUGUGUUGAUAGCCCCUAGUUGUAUACAAUGGUUGAGAUUGAGGAACUCAGCACGCCGCAAGGCCGGGUGAAAAACCACGUACGUGCUUAGGAUGCUGGCAUAAUGGCUUUAAUCGACCCGUCUUGAAACACGGACCAAGGAGUCUAACAUGCGUGCGAGUGUUUGGGUGGAAAACCCGAGCGCGUAAUGAAAGUGAAAGUUGAGAUCCCUGUCGUGGGGAGCAUCGACGCCCGGACUAGACCUUUUGUGACGGUUCCGCGGUAGAGCAUGUAUGUUGGGACCCGAAAGAUGGUGAACUAUGCCUGAAUAGGGUGAAGCCAGAGGAAACUCUGGUGGAAGCUCGUAGCGAUUCUGACGUGCAAAUCGAUCGUCAAAUUUGGGUAUAGGGGCGAAAGACUAAUCGAACCAUCUAGUAGCUGGUUCCUGCCGAAGU
rnacentral:rRNA from 1 species